rnacentral:miRNA from 1 species
CACGCAACGGUGUUCGGGUCCA